GACGAACGCUGGCGGCGUGCCUAAUACAUGCAAGUCGAGCGGACUUUCAAGAAGCUUGCUUUUUGAAAGUUAGCGGCGGACGGGUGAGUAACACGUGGGCAACCUGCCUGCAAGACGGGGAUAACUCCGGGAAACCGGGGCUAAUACCGGAUAAUACCUUCCUUCGCAUGAAGGAAGGUUGAAAGGCGGCGCAAGCUGCCGCUUGCAGAUGGGCCCGCGGCGCAUUAGCUAGUUGGUGAGGUAACGGCUCACCAAGGCGACGAUGCGUAGCCGACCUGAGAGGGUGAUCGGCCACACUGGGACUGAGACACGGCCCAGACUCCUACGGGAGGCAGCAGUAGGGAAUCUUCCGCAAUGGACGAAAGUCUGACGGAGCAACGCCGCGUGAGCGAAGAAGGUCUUCGGAUCGUAAAGCUCUGUUGUCAGGGAAGAACAAGUACCGUUCGAACAGGGCGGUACCUUGACGGUACCUGACCAGAAAGCCACGGCUAACUACGUG
rnacentral:rRNA from 1 species